GCUGCUGCCCCAGAGUGAGGCAGCAGGUCACAUGGCUUCGGUAGGCAGGAGGGGCAAAAACUUCUGCUUUUUUGUGUUUAGCCUGAGACCCCAGCCCAGCAGCACACACACUUUGGAGGUGGGUCUUCUUUAUUAACCCUCUCUGGAAACACUCACUCUCCCAGAAUUGUGCCUCCUACAGGACUCCAAACCCACUCAAGGCUGACAGCGAAGAUUAGCUGUGGGAUAAUGCAUCUCUGGGGUGGGAUCGAGAGUCCCACGCGAGGAGACUGAUGGGGAACAGAAAACACUAGUCAACACCUAGGUCUGGCGCAGAUGGAAACUUGAAGACUUACUGUGUGCUCGGCGUCUUGGAGGAUUCAGGUGCAUGCUUCUUUCUAAUCCCACGAUUUGGGCUGUGGAGGCAAGAAGAUCAAGGGCACCCUUCCCUACACAAUGGACUUGAGACCAGCCUGGGCUACAGGAAAACUUGUCACAAAGGUGACCCCAACGUGUGUCAAGCUGACAGACAACUAUCCAGGAGAGCUAGAGGCGGAGACCAAGGAGGCGGAGACCACGGAGGCGGAGGCCACGGAGGCGGAGACCACGAAGGGACUCUGCUUACUGGCUUGCUCUCCAGCUUGCUCUGCUACUUUUCUUUACAGAGUGGGCCCACCAACCCAGGGAUGCCCUUGCCCCACAGACACACCCUCGGGCUUGAUGGAGGUGAGGCCUUGCCAGGCUCUCCCUUCCCAGGAGUGCCCGGGCUUGUAGUUGAGGAAUGCAGCGCCGGCAAUUUCCUUAGUAACGAGUCCUGGCCAGCCAGUAGAACUGUUAGACUUGAUAUGUCUGCUCUUAGGCUUCGGUUUUACGCAGUUAAUGUGGAUGAAUUCUAACACCCAGAACCUCGGAGUUCAGAAACAAAGUACUUCACUUUAUAAGAAAUCCCAGCCAGCAUCUCAGAGCUCCGGCAGUGAGGCAGGGUAACUCAGGGGACUCUGAAGGGACAGCCGAUUCCUAAAUGGCUCCCAGCCUUUCACUGUCCUUGGUGGAGCACAGCUCCCGGACUGUGUUUUGCUCAGUACUGAUUCCAGUGAUGUCUCAAGUCUUGUAGUUUUAUCUAAUGAACCCAGAGUCUUCUUAAAAAGCCAUGGUUUCUGGCUAGACUGAUGGUUUGGUGGUUAAGAACACUUGCUGCGGCAGAGGGCCAAAGUUUUAUUGUGAGCAUCCACAUGGCGGCUCACAACCAUCCUUAACUCCAGUUCCAGGGGAUCUGACCACCUCUUCUCUCACCAGGCCAAGAUGGCACAUAUAUGCAUAGACACACAUGCAGGCAAAACACUCAUGCACAUACAAAAAGAAUUAAAGCAAUGACCAAAAAGCCAUGUUUUCUUUGCAGUGAAUGGGGUUUUAGGUUUUAAAAUGU